GUGUAAAAUCUUCUAAAUAAAUAGCAAGAGGGUGGUCUAAGUAAAUAGGAUGAAUAGGUUUAGAAUUAUUUUUACAACUGAAAUUAAUUUUUGUUAUUGCAGAGACAAAGUACCGAAAAAAGGUACCGUUGGGUAGGGGAACCGAAUUUGAGGUACCAGUA